CUUAAUCACAGAAUUUUUAUUAUUUACUAAAGAUAGUAAGUAGGUAGAUAGAUAGUACAAGGGUUAUUGAGAGGCUCAAUUACAUCAGGAUUCCAUUACAUAAAGAGAUAUUUCUAUUUUCUUAGUCCAUUCCUCAUGGUUACAAAUGUUAGAGAGUCAUUGAUGUCUCAACGAGGAAGGAAUGGAAAGGAGCAUAGCUAUUGAGAUUUCUUAAGUGUGGUUCUUAUCAGAAAGUGUCCCCUCCUCAGAAGUCCCUUGGCAAACCUCCACUUACACUUCACUGACAAAAUUUUAUUACAAGGUCUAUUCCAGCUAUGCAUGACUAGGAAAACAUGUGUUUUGCAAAAAAAAAAAAAACUAGGAUACGCACAAUUAACGAAAAUGUAUCACACACUGGCCUUUGGGGCUGAUCAUGCUAUGGACCGAAUGUUUGUAUUCUCAUCCCCCAAAUUCAUAGGUUGAAAUCCUACCCCACAAUAUGAUGGUAUUAGGAGGUAGGGCCUUUGAGAAGUGAUUAGGCCAUGAGAAGAGAACCCUUCUAAAAGAAGACACCAGAGCUUGCUCUUGCUCUCUCUACUCUCUGCCAUGUGAGGAUACAAUGAGAAGAUGGCCAUUUGCAAACCAGGAAGCAUCCCUCACCAGACGCUGGAUCUGCCAGUCCCUUGAUGUUAUACUUUCCAGCCUCCCGACUGUGAGAAAUAGAUGUUUAUUGUUUAAGCCACCCAGUCUAUGGUAAUUUGUUAUAGAAGCCCAAAUUAAGACAUUAUCCCAAACAAAAUCAAAUAUCUUUGAGUGGGAAUCAGCUGGAGGAUGAUACUUGGGAGAAAAUUUGCAGAAUUCAUCCCAGGGCAUGCCUUAUUUUUACCUGGUACACUUAAGAAAGAAUAAAAUAUCAAGGAUUUGCAAGGCCUCCAUUACAGCACUUGUGGGCAAUAUAUUCAUAUCAGAACAAUUUUCUUUACAAUGAAAAGCAAAAGCAUUUAUUCCAUUAAUAAGCUUCACUAUUUCAUUUUUAUAAUUUUAAAAUACAUGUUUUCAGGAAUUUCUAAAAUGAUGUUUAGUUACUUCUUCGAAGAAUCCCCAGGGUAAUAUUCGUUUUCUAAGAUAAGUAGAAAUUAGCCUAGACUUAUAAGAAAUAGAUGAUGAUGCCUUAUAUUUAUGCAAUAACUUACAUAUUGCAAAGUACAUCUAUUUACAUUAUACCAUUUAAUCCAACAUAUGAGGUUAGUACUAUCAACUUCAUUUUACAUGUGAGGAAGUGAAAGUUUAAAAUAAAAACAUUUACAAAAUUGUCCUUUCUAUUAAGUGAUUUAUCAGGAUUUUGAACUAUGCCUCUGUUCUUUUCCAUCUUCACACUUUCAUGAUUCCAUGCAGAGUAAGCCAAUUGUUUUUCUACUUUUUAACAGUUGAUCUAUUCACUUCUGAAAGAAUUUGAGAUAAUUUGUUUCAAAUAAAUAUAAAGAAUAUGCAUUUUUUCUUAAUUUUAGGGGCACUCUUCACACCAUGAGUGUUGGAAUUACCCGUUAAUUCCUGAAAUGAUUACCAAAACCUUGUUCUGUCUAAGACACUGAAAUAGACAAGUACAGUCAAUCUUAUACUAGGAACCAAAAACUUAAAAUUAGAAUAAAAUAUGCAUACAGAUUUCUAUAGCAAUGAUUAGGAUACAUAGUAAAAUAUUAAAGAUUAUAUUUUACUGUUAAAAGAUAAACUGAAGCACAUUAAAAUACAAACAGUUUCUUUGAGCUAACAGCAAUUUAUAAAUCAGGCAAUUCCAGACCACAGGUGGUUGGGGGUUCCACCAACAGGAGUAUGAGUUACAGGCUUUUACAGGGUGAAUGUGGAAACAAGGCAAAGAAAAUAUUUCACUGGUUGAAGUGGAGCAGUGGCCUUAUUUGAAUCAUUCAAGUGGAAAGUUCCUAUUGAGAGCUUAUUUGGCAGCUUCUGACUGGUUAAGCUUAAGUUUUGUGUUACUAUUUCCAGUGAAUCAGGUUUCAACUUGCUUAGAUAGAACCCAGAGUGCUGGAGCUGCCUCAGCCUAAUGGCCUCUCAACCAAUUAUUUUAACAUAUUCCUUUAGCACUAUAUUAUUGGCAAGCCACUCACAGAUGUAGCUCACAUUUGAACUGUACACUAGCCCUCUCAGAUAGAUAUCAUUAUCAUCCCCAUUCUACAAAUGGGAAAACUGAGGCUAAAAGAGGUGAAAUAGAAGAGCCAGGAUAAGGCUCUGUGUCUUAAUCCAAAAUCACUUACUUUCCACCUUGCCCAUAUAAAUGAUCAAAAUGCACCAUAGAGGAAGAAUGAGAGCUUGUACUUUGGAAUUAGGCAGGAUCAGUUCUGAGUUCCAGUCACUAAGUAGCUAUGUGAAGUAAGGGUGUAAUCACAGUAUCAUCUCAUGGAUUUCCUGGGAGAUUAAAAAAAAGUAACCUACAUGAGGAGCUCAGUGGAUACUAAACACACUAUCUAUGUUAGCUCUUAUUAGGGACAGUUCCUAGAAUUAACUGAGCACAGACCACGGGGCCCUGCAUUAUUCUAAGAAGAUUUCAUAUAUUAAUUCAUUAGUAAUAUUAUUAAGCAGGAAUUGAACUGAGUUCUGCAGAGAAAACAGGUUCAUUAAAUAAAUAAAUUGACCCAACCAGUACUUGUGAAUGUCUACUCUUUGCCCAGCAGUUUUGAGUCACUGGUGAAGCAGCAGUAAAGAAGACCAAGUCCCUCCUCUCAUGGGACUUAACAUUUCCAGUAGGAGGAACAGACAAGAGAUCCACGUGAUCAGCACUAGGAAGAAAAAUAAGGCAGAAUCUUGGUUGAACAGUUGGACCAUGUGAUGGGUUUUGCAAAAUGUUUUCAAAUUCUUUGGCAUUCCUCCUCCAAAAGGUGGAAUUUAAUUCCUUUUUCCUUGAAUGUGGGCCAUCCUUAGUGACUUGCCUCCAACUAAUAGAACUUGGCAGGCAAGAAGAAAGCAGAGGUGAUACUGUAUGAGUAACUUCCAAAGCUGAGUCACAAAUGGCCAUUUGGCUUCCACCUAGUACUCUGUCUCUCUUUUUCUUUCUGUGUCUCUUUCUCCUCUCCUCUCUGCCUCUCCACCUGUGAUCCUGGAGUCUGGCUAACCUGAAGCAACUACGAUAAAGAGACCCUGACGUGAUGCCACAUAGAGACACAGACAGAUGCUUGAGGAGCCCCAGAUGUUGAGUCUUCUCAGUCCAGGUGUCAGGCUUGUGGGUGAGUGAGCCUUCAGAUGAUUCCAUUCCCCAGCCUUUUAGCCACCUUCCUCAGCCAAAGUUGAGUGGAGCAGAAAAGAGCUGUUCCCACCAAGCCCUGCUCAGACUGCAAAUUGAAAAGCAAAAUAAAUAUUUUUGUUUUAAACCACUAAACUUUUUCAGCUACACAUCCAUAAUAACUGGGGCAGUAUUGUAAACAGGGUAUGGGGAGGUUUAUUUCAAGAGCAGAUAUUGGAAUAGAGACCUGAAUGGCAUCAGGUAAGGAGUCAUUCAAAGAUUUAUAGAAUGUACUUUCCAGAAAGAAGGAAGAGCAAAUACGAAGGCCCUGAGGUAAGAAUGCACAUGGUGUUUUAAAGGAAUAACAUGUCAGCUGGUCUGGCUGAAAUGGAGUGAAAAUCAGAGAAAAGUAGCAGACAAGGUGGAACAGGAAACAGGUCAGAUAAGGGAGGGUCUUAUUGAUGGCAAACAGUUUAGGUUUGGGUAUUAAUGGGCUGGGAAACAAUUAGGAAAUAAUAAGGAAUAGGUUUGAUUUAAUUUAUGUUUGGAGAAAGAUCUCUCUGCCGUUCGUGUGAAAAAUAUUCUUCAAGGGCAACAGUCAAUGACAGAUGUCAUUUAGGAAGCCAAGGCAGAGAUUAGGAAGGGAAUGAUGGUGGCUUGGCUUGAGGUCUUAGCUAUGCAGUUGGGUGAGAAGUGAUUAUAUUCUGGAUAGAUUUUGAGGGCAGAGCCAAUAGGUUUGUGGAUGGAUCGAAUAGGAACAAAGAGGGAAGGCAAGGCUGGAAUUGUCAGGGCUCCCCUGCAUCGCCACACAAAGUGAAGUCUGCCUGCCAGCAGUGAGGGCAUCCCAGGCAAGCUUGCUGGAAAUGGCAAAUCUCAGGCCCCAUCUCAGUUGAAUCAGCAUUUGCAUUUUAACAAUGCACUCUGGUAAUUCACAUGUAGAUGAAAGUUUAUAAACACUGUUUUAGACACUUAAGGAGUAUCAAGUAAGAAGCUUGUUCUUCAAGUCUGACCUUAAGAGGGUCAGUCAGGAUAGGACAUUUUUAAAAAGCAAAAGAAAAUCAGGCUUUUAUGAAAAUUCUUGAGAUGGAUAAUACAAAUCCACAAAACUGUCUGUUGCCUAAUAAUAGAAAUACUAUUUUCUAUUACUAGAAGAAUCUACCAUAAUUCCUUCUGCUGAUUGUCACACCAUUUUUAAAGAAUUUAGAUUUUUCUUAAAAAGUAUAUUCAGAAUAUGUUUCUUAAAUUGCAUAUUUUUUCCUUUUGGGUUUGUCAUAAUAGCUCACAGUAUAAUUUUAUGAGACUCCACAGUUACGUUGAAUUUCCACAGUUAGGGGAUGAGUUUCAUUUUUACUAGAAACUAGUAAGCCAUCGGUAAAAUGUUCUAUUACCCUGCCUUGUUUUAACUCUUGAACUACACUUAACAGCCUUUUUGGUUCCCAACACAAGCUGAAAACUCUUCAUUCCACAACUGGGGCCAACUCAUCAGUUUUCUUUAAAAUAUAAGCUCCAUGCUAGAGGCCCUUAUCCUUAGCAAACUCACACAGGAACAGAAAACCAAAUACCACAUGUUCUCACUUAUAAGUGGGAGCUAAAUGAUGAGAACACAUGGACACAUAAAGGGGAACAACACACACUGAGGCCUAUCAGAGGCUGGAAGGUGAGAGGAGGGAGAGGAUGAGGCAAAAUAACUAAUAGGUACUAGGGCUUAAUACCUGGUUGGCAAAAUAAUUGGUACAACAAAACCCCAUGACAUAUGUUUACCUGUAUAACAAACCUGUACAUGUACUCCUGAACUUAAAAUAAAAGUUAAAUUAAAAAAUUAUAAUAUGAGCUGCAUAAUAAUAAUAAUAAAUGGUUUUCCCCAAACUCUUGUUCAUCGAAUCCCAGAUGUAUGAUAUUUAGGGCCUUAAACAAAGAUUUUUUUAAAAACUGCAUACAUUAAAAAAAAAAAAAUUUCUCAACAACACAAAGAACAUGGAAGUGCUCCAGUAAUUAUUUUGGAGACAAAAUUAUUCUUCAGGUUCCUGCAGUUCAUAGAUAAGAACAUUUUUAGAAGUUUUAUGCAAAGUUCAAGAUGACAAAAAAUGCAAAUUUCAGAUGGGUAUGUUCACUGUGAAGGUUGGAAGACAAGAUUAGAAAGAUCUUCUUAAAUUAGCCUUUUUUUCCCCCUAGCAGGUUACAUGCAAGUUGAAAGUGUUGAAUAUAAUGCAUUCCUAGAUAAAAUUUAAGACUUCUAAGGUUACAGAAAAUAGAUUCUAUAAACUAAACCCCAAAUGUGUAUUAUUUCUCCUAAGAUACAAUUGAACCAAACCAUAUCUGAUGACAAAAAUCCAAUUAUAGCAGUAAAGGUUGCUCUCAGUUAUUCCUUUCUUCAAGUGAAAGCAAAUGGUAAAAUGAAGUGAGCAGGAACCAACUGCCUUCAUAAAUACAUGGGCUUACAUUUGCUAUCAAUUUUUUGUUAGUGAAAGAAUGAAAAGGGUAAAAGUAUCUGGUGCAUUGCAAAUGCCAUUGAUAUAGAUUUUUGUAUUGUUUUAACGGGCCAGAGAAAGAAAAUAACUUUUUUCAUGAUAACAAGAUGUUCUCUAAGGAAGACAGCAUGGUGUAAUGGUUACGCGUCAAAGCUCUUGAGUAAAAGGGUCAGUGGUGACAAUCCUCACACUGGUGAGUUCUAUGACUUAUAGCAAAUUACGUAACCUUUCUGAGCCUCAGCUUCCUUUUUGGUAAAAUAGGGAUAAUAACAGUGUUACUGUCUAAAAAUGAAUUAGGAUUUAAUGAAAUACUGCAUAUAACCAUCAGAAAUAGCACUCAAUAAAUAUUAGCUAUUAAAAUCAGCUCAGCCUUUACCAAAUAUGUAUUCUUGGAAGGCUAAGUUUCAUUUUGCCUGAACCAGUAUUGCUUUUGGACUGGCUCAUUUAAGGCCUGGAAAAUUACAAAGAUGCCAUGAACACAAUUACAGCAACGCAUUCCCAGUUUCUACUUUAGAGAACAUGAGGGGUGAUGACAGAAAAGAAUUCUUUGCUGUUUCAAGAAUCCACUUAUGGAGAAAAUGAAACCGUGAGAUAAUUGAAUCAAAAUACUUUUGUCACAAAGUAAGCAUCUGGACGAUGGAUCCAGGGAAAGCCAUUAUAAGAAUGAAAUAGCCACUCUUUCUGGGGGAAGCCAUGUGAUAAGCAGCUCUGUGGAGAUGCCAGUGUGGUGAGGAACUGAAGCCUCCUUCCAGUAGCCCUGUGAAUGAGCUUAAAGGAAGAUUCCACAGCUGCGGAAAACUUCAAAUGGCUGAUGCCGGGCUGACAGCUUGAUUGCCAUCUCAUGAGAGGUCCCAAAGCAGAACCACCCAGCAAAGUGACUCCUGGAUUUCUGACCCUAAGAAUUUAUGUGAGAUAACAAAUAUUUGUUCUUAUUCGGCUGCUAAGUUUUGAGAUCAUUUGUUUUGCAGCAAAAGGUCACUAAUUUACUACAUAAUUAGCAUUAUUAUAUAAAAGUGAAGUGAGAACAACAAAGCAUUUUAGGGCAGAAAGGCAUGUUGUCCUCUUAAUGCUGAAAUCUGAAUGAAAGAGAGAUCUUAAACAGGAACAAUAUUUUGACGAAAGUGAUGUUGAAAAAGACCAUGGUAUUCAGUUGUAUAGACUGUGCUGUUCACAAGGGUGCCCGACCCAGGAUGUGAAAGAAGAUGCAAAUCAAACCCCCGCUCAGGUCUCCAAGCUGUGUGACCUGACUCAGAGUUGCAUCUACCCAGAAGUAGAAAUGCCUUUUUCUAACACACAAACAUUUAAUCCUCUUGCCAGGUUGUGUACCCAUGGGGUUUUGUCAGCCUUGGAGAAGGCAUUUUUUUUUAAAUUAGUAAGCACAUUUUUUUUAAAAUUAGCACAAGACACCAUAUGGGCUAGCAGUGGUUUCAAAGUUGGUGGGGGCAGGAGGAUUUAAAUCUUUUUGAAGGAGGUAGUUCUAGCUUCAAAUCCUGCCCACUUCAUAUGUUUUAUGUGUAUCUUCUGAUACGUUUUAUAACUUCAGUUUUCUCACUAGUAAAAUGAGAAGUGAGAACAAAAAUAUCUGCAUAAUUGGAUUAUGGCAAGAACCAUAUGAGAUAAUUUUUGAAAAGCACCGAGCUCAGUUGGCUAGUACACCAUAGAUGAUCAAUACAUGCAGCUUUUCCAUCUCCUUUGCAUCUGCUUGAUUUAGGCAGAAUAAAAAGGCUGUUUAUGGAAGAAACUGCAAGCUUGCCAAAUGAGUCAAAACUCAUAAUGUUUCCUAUUAUAGCAAUCACUAGGAGCGGAACCUAAAGAAAAAGCACAGCAGAAACUCCUGAACUAUUUACUGGUCAGCAUCACGAAAAUGGGACAAAUUGAUUAUAUAGGUAGGAAGAUAGGUUAAUAGAUAGGUUGGUAGACAGAUAGAUAACAGAUGAUAAAAAAUACAUAUAAAGUUUGUACUGAAUAUAUAUUAAAAAUGUAUCUAUGAGGUACUAACCUACAUUACUAUAUUCACCCUCAAAGCAGCUGUGUUGCUGUUGUACAGGUGUCUCAGUGCCUGCAGAACGAACCUCGUAAUGUCCUUCUUGGAAAUAUUAGCACCAGCUGUUUAGGAUCCCCCUGUCAGAAGUCUAUAUCCAGACCUUGGCAGGCUCCUCUGGUGAGCUGAGACACUAGGCCAGCUAAGCAGAGUCCUGGCUCAGAACUUUGUCUGUUCGUUCUAUAGGCCUCCUCUUCCAAGCUUCAAGGUUCUGAAAAUUCCAACCUAUUCCCUCUGUUUCCCCAGCCCUAGGAGUGUCCGUUGCUUCUCACAUUUGUCAUCUGUCUAUGAUACCUUAGUUUCCCCUUUUGCCUUUUCGAUUGCCAAGUUAACAACUUUACACGUAGUUUACAAUUUUUCAUAGGACAUUCUCUGUUAAUAAAACUGUGUGUGAUUUCUGUCUUUUGCUUGGUCCCUGACUGAUCUAAUGACCUAAGGGGCAGCUCUAACAUCACAAGGGACAAUGUGGGGAAAGUACCAGAUAUUUCAAGCCAGAAUAUUUAUAGUUGUGAUAAAAUUGUUUUUGUAAAAUGGGAGUAUUAUGUAGAUUGUUCUUCUUUAUUAUAAUUUAUUAUGACUCUUUUUCAAGAGUCUGAUUUAAAAUAGUUAGACAAAGGCACGCACCAUUACUUGAGGUUUAAAUUUUUCGGUGACUUAUUCCUGCAUCUCUUCAUUUAUUUCUGCUGCAGUAUCUUUACCAAUUCUACCACUUUCAGUUUCACAUAGGGAAAACCUCCUACAGGUCACAAGGAAAGUAGAAAAGAGGUAUUAUCUUUAACUUAUAUUCCUCUAGCCAAAAUACUGAAAUUUUCUCUUUUUAUUUUCCAAGGGAAUUCAGUUCCAUCCUCUGAAAAGUACAUAGCCCCAUUCUAUUUCACUUGUACUGACAAAUAGAAUAUAUACUAACUCCUGCCAUCUUAUUUCCUUCUGUAGGUUCAAUAAGUACCUAAAGGGCUUCAUCUGAGAAGAGAUGUGCAGUAGAGAAAGGGAAGAAAAAAACUUAUAGAAAUAUUUUUUUAAAAACUAUUUUUGCAUGAAGCCACUGUUUGAAUAGAUCAUUCAAGUUUGAGGUUAAUGAUACCUUGACUGUCAAUAUGGAUGAGUCAGAUGAUCUAGUGUUGAUAAUGUGUCGUUAACACAUCUGAAGGUGCACUGAACAUUGUAUGUUCUUUGUACAUAUCUUGUAAUUAACCAAGAAGAAAAAAUGAAUUUCCCUGGCAAGAAGCACAAACUUGUAAGAGUUUUGAUUAGGAGUUAGUACAGUAGGCAGGAAACAACUUUUAAAACUGAUAUCAUGAUGCUCAAGGACAUAAACAGUGGUAUUUUAAAAUAUUCUUUUAACAGAAAGAGACUUUCUUCCAAUGAAAACUUAUGUGAUAUCAAAAUAUUUGUAUUAAAGAUAAAGAUGGUGCUGUAGUAGAUAUUUAGGCUAGUUCCUGACACCUUGCUAAAUGGCACCCUCCUCCUUUACCUUCCCUGCUAUUAUUUACUCUCAAUUUUGUAUUAAGCAGGGUCCCAGCAAAAAAAUAUGGCAUACUCAUAUUUGGUAGUUUGAGUAUAAUUGAACACAGAGAUUGUUUACAAAAGUAAACUACCCAAAGGUAGUACAGUACUCUGUGGCUAAUAAGUAAGAAGCCAUCAGAUAAAUUGCCUUAUUUCUAAUAUUUCUCAUCCCACAUGCUCUUUUUAGUUUCACUUGGUAUUCUGCCAUUGAAAGGUGAUGUCUCUAUUUCAUUCCUUUGAAUCUAUGAGCAUUUGUGAUUACAGUAGAAAAUGAUGCAGAAUGAUCCAUGGUUGUAUCAUAAAAGUGAUGCAGUGUAUACGCCUGGUUUUCUUUCGGAAGAUUGUUGUUGGAACCUAGACACUGUACUGUGAGGAAGUCCAAGAAGCUUUAGAGAAGCUCAUGUGAAGAAGAACCUAAGCCCCUGGUCCUCAGUCCAAGUUGAACUCCAAGCCAACAGUCAGCACUAACUUGCCAGCAUGUGAGGGAACCUUCCUGGAAAUAGAUCUUAUAUCCCCAAGUUAAUCCACUCCAGCUGAAGCAGUGAAAAGCAAAAAUAAACCUUCCUGACCAAGCAAAAAUUGCCAGUUCUGUGGCAAAUAAACAAUUGUAGUUGUAAGUUACUAAGUUUUGGGAUAGUUUGCUUUGCAGCAAUAAUAACUAAAAUAAGAAGUUACUACCCCAGGCCUGAAGUAGAGAGGGGAGGGGUUGGCUACUAAAACUCAGCAGGAGAAAGAGUUGUGUGCUAUUAACUCCCUUUCCCAAGAAAGGAAACUGGGUGAAUAAAUACCCUAAUCUCACUCUACCUUCCUGAUGGGCUCCUGUUGAUUCUCUCAUUGGCUGAACUCAAUCGGGGGCCAGAGGGUAAGAAAGCCCACAGAUACAACCCUAAAAAGUUAGCCUGACAAGGCACAGAGCGGAAUUUUAAAAGGUAAUUAUAGAUCUCGAGGGCAAAAAAGGAAGAUAUCCAAUCCAAAUUCCUUCCACUAAUGCAAAAGACUCUGAAAAAGUUUAAAACCCAGCAACCUAGAUAGAGCAAACCAAAGGAAUAGAUCCUCUGCUGGAAUUCAACUGCUAUUUAAAAUUCUGCUAUAGAUUGUCCUACCUUUGUAAAGUUACAUACAUGGAUAUAUGAAUCUAUAGACAUACAGAUGGAUCCACAUCUAGAUAUAAACAUGAAUAUGGAUUAAUAUGCCACAAUGUCAAGUUGUUAUUGGUUAUUAUUAUUUUUAAAAUUUUCUUUCUUUUAGUUUAACUAUUUUGUUAUGUACAACAAGCACAUUAUUUUUGUCAUUUUCAAAGUUAUUAAACAAGCAAAGAAUAAG
rnacentral:lncRNA from 10 species